UCUUUCUGCAGCAGUUCCAAAAGCCGGGCAUUUAUGUCUUUCGUCUGAGCAGCAACCGACAUCGGAAGAUGAUGCAGUGUCACAGCCUGAGCUGGGCUCGGAAGGCUGCUCCCCACCCCACCUUCAGGAGACAUCAGCAAGAAUGCAACCUCGAUGCCUACACUUCCCCAAGAACUGGGAUAAUGUCAAUAAGGAGAGGCCGAUCUCACCAAGACUCUGACGCCCCCAGGGUUGAGGGGGGUCCUGGUGGGAGCUGGGAGGCUGAGGAGCAGGUAGAUCUGGAGUGGUUUGACACAGAGGCCUUCUUUGGAGACUGCCUCAGGCAGUCUCUGUCAGUGACAGCCAAACUCAGCCACACGAAGGAAGAGCUCAAACUCCUCUACCUUAAACUUCUGGGUGAAGCCCGUUCUCUCCAGCAGCUGUGGGGAACAAGGCGCUGCCUCCCAGCCUCCGCUAACCGGCUUCUGAGGAGCGUGCAGAGGGAGCAGCAGCAGGGCAGUUCCCCAGCUGGACACGGUGCUGGGCCACCUGUCCCAGGUCGUGCUGCAGGAGGGCCACCGCCUGAAGGCCUGGGGCAUUCUGGGCACCGGCACUGGGGCGGAGCUACUGAGGCCAGCCCCAGCAGGCCCUCCUGGUGCUGAUGACAUCAGUGUGAACCCCGUCACCAAGUUGAUGGUCCCUGGCCCCAACUCCUUGAUGCUUCCAGC
rnacentral:lncRNA from 1 species